UACGUAGGUCCAGAACGUUGCGCGAAGUUACUGGGCGUAAAGGGUCCGUAGGCGGUUUCGCAAGUGGUUGGUGAAAUUUCACGGCUCAACCGUGAAACUGCCUUCCAAACUGCUAAACUUGAGGCAGGGAGAGGUCGGCGGAAUUCCCGGGGUAGUGGUGAAAUGCUUAGGUAUCGGGAGGAACACCAGUGGCGAAGGCGGCCGACUGGAACUGUCCUGACGCUGAGGGACGAAAGCUAGGGGAGCAAACCGG
rnacentral:rRNA from 1 species